AGCAGCCGCGGUAAUUCCAGCUCCAAUAGCGUAUAUUAAAGUUGUUGCAGUUAAAAAGCUCGUAGUUGAAUUUCGGGAUCAAAUUGUUGGUCGUGCCUCGGUACACACUGGUAUUAUUGGUUCCUACCUUCUGAAGAACCGCGAUGUCAUUAAUUUGGUGUCGUGGGGAAUCAGGACUGUUACUUUGAAAAAAUUAGAGUGUUUAAAGCAGGCUUACGCUUGAAUACAUUAGCAUGGAAUAAUGAAAUAGGACGUUUGAUUCUAUUUUGUUGGUUUCUAGGAUUGACGUAAUGAUUAAUAGGGAUAGUUGGGGGCAUUAGUAUUCAAUUGUCAGAGGUGAAAUUCUUGGAUUUAUUGAAGACUAACUACUGCGAAAGCAUUUGCCAAGGAUGUUUUCAUUAAUCAAGAACGAAAGUUAGGGGAUCGAAGACGAUCAGAUACCGUCGUAGU
rnacentral:rRNA from 1 species